UACGUAGGGGGCAAGCGUUGUCCGGAAUCAUUGGGCGUAAAGAGCGGGUAGGGGGCUCGGUAAGUCCGCUGUGAAAGUCCAGGGCUCAACCCUGGAAAGCCGGUGGAAACUGUCGAGCUAGAGUCCGGAAGAGGCGAGUGGAAUUCCUGGUGUAGCGGUGAAAUGCGCAGAUAUCAGGAGGAACACCAAUUGCGAAGGCAGCUCGCUGGGACGUUACUGACGCUGAGACGCGAAAGCGUGGGGAGCAAACAGG
rnacentral:rRNA from 1 species